rnacentral:tRNA from 1 species
GGGCCGUUAGCUCAGCGGUAGAGCACCUGCCUUUUAAGCAGGGUGUCGCGCGUUCGAAUCGCGCACGGCUCAUCA